ensembl:snoRNA
UCUCACCGAUGACCUCGCAUUUGUGCCAUUGUGUCGGGGUCACAGAAGCACUGAUGGAACCUAUGAGA